rnacentral:rRNA from 1 species
GGAGAAAGAGGGGUUAUGAUGGAAGGCAAUGAAGAAGAAGAGGACGACGACAGCUAUCCUGGCCAUGGGUUCCCUGAAUACGAUGAUACAACAAUGGGGGAAGAAGCUGAGCCGGUAAUGCGGGAAGAAGCUGAGCCGGCAAUGCGGGAAGAAGCUGAAGAAGAGGCAUCGGAUGAGCCCGUUGAUGAUCUAGAUCGGGCCAUUGCCGAUGCAAAGAGAAACUGCGCAAAUGAUUUGGAGAGGAAGAAGUUGCAGCGCAUGUUAGAGGAUCACAAAAAAUUGUUGUACCCGAAUUGCGUAGGUGACAAGAAAAAGCUGGGCACCACACUGGAAUUUCUGCAAUGGAAGGCAGAGAAUGGU